GACGAACGCUGGCGGCGUGCCUAAUACAUGCAAGUAGAACGCACAGUUUAUACCGUAGCUUGCUACACCAUAGACUGUGAGUUGCGAACGGGUGAGUAACGCGUAGGUAACCUGCCUGGUAGCUGGGGAUAACUAUUGGAAACGAUAGCUAAUACCGCAUAAUAUUAAUUAUUGCAUGAUAAUUAAUUUAAAGGUGCAAUUUCACCACUACCAGAUGGACCUGCGUUGUAUUAGCUAGUAGGUGAGGUAACGGCUCACCUAGGCGACGAUACAUAGCCGACCUGGGAGGGUGAUCGGCCAAACUGGGACUGAGACACGGCCCAGACUCCUACGGGAGGCAGCAGUAGGGAAUCUUCGGAAAUGGACGAAAGUCUGACCGAGCAACGCCGAGUGAGUGAAGAAGGUUUUCGGAUCGGAAAGCUCUGUUGUAAGAGAAGAACGGGUGUGAGAGUGGAAAGUUCACAAUGUGACGGUAUCUUACCAGAAAGGGACGGCUAACUACGUG
rnacentral:rRNA from 1 species